AACGAACGCUGGCGGCAUGCCUAACACAUGCAAGUCGAACGAGACCUUCGGGUCUAGUGGCGCACGGGUGCGUAACGCGUGGGAACCUGCCCUUAGGUUCGGAAUAACUCCCCGAAAGGGGUGCUAAUACCGGAUAAUGUCUUCGGACCAAGGAUUUAUCGCCUUUGGAUGGGCCCGGGUUGGAUUAGCUAGUUGGUAGGGUAAAAGCCUACCAAGGCGACGAUCCAUAGCUGGUCGGAGAGGAGGAUCGGCAACACUGGGACGGGGACAGGGCCCAAACUCCGCCGGGAGGAAGCAGGGGGGAAUAUUGGACAAGGGGCGAAAGCCGGAUCCAGCAAUGCCGGGUGAGGGAUGAAGGCCUUAGGUUUGAAAAGCUCUUUUCCCCGGGAUGAUAAUGACAGUACCGGGAGAAUAAGCGCCGGCUAACCCCGU
rnacentral:rRNA from 1 species